AUUGAACGCUGGCGGCAUGCCUUACACAUGCAAGUCGAACGGCAGCACGGGUGCUUGCACCUGGUGGCGAGUGGCGAACGGGUGAGUAAUACAUCGGAACAUGUCCUGUAGUGGGGGAUAGCCCGGCGAAAGCCGGAUUAAUACCGCAUACGAUCUACGGAUGAAAGCGGGGGACCUUCGGGCCUCGCGCUAUAGGGUUGGCCGAUGGCUGAUUAGCUAGUUGGUGGGGUAAAGGCCUACCAAGGCGACGAUCAGUAGCUGCUCUGAGAGGACGACCAGCAACACUGGGACUGGGACACGGCCCAGACUCCUACGGGAGGCAGCAGUGGGGAAUUUUGGACAAAGGGCGAAAGCCUGCUCCAGCAAUGCCGCGUGUGUGAAGAAGGCCUUCGGGUUGUAAAGCACUUUUGUCCGGAAAGAAAACCUUGGCCCUAAUACGGUCGGGGGAUGACGGUACCGGAAGAAUAAGCACCGGCUAACUACGUG
rnacentral:rRNA from 1 species